UAGUCCUACGGGAGGCAGCAGUGGGGGAUAUUGCACAAUGGGGGGAACCCUGAUGCAGCGACGCCGCGUGGGUGAAGAAGCGCCUCGGCGCGUAAAGCCCUGUCAGCAGGGAAGAAAAUGACGGUACCUGAAGAAGAAGCCCCGGCUAACUACGUGCCAGCAGCCGCGGUAAUACGGAGGAUGCGAGCGUUAUCCGGAUUUAUUGGGUUUAAAGGGUGCGCAGGCGGCGUGUCAAGCAAGCGGUAAAAUAGCGGGGCUCAACCCCGUCGAGCCGUUUGAACUGGCGCGCUUGAGUUCAGGCGAGG
rnacentral:rRNA from 1 species